UACGUAGGGACCAAGCGUUGUUCGGAUUUACUGGGCGUAAAGGGCGCGUAGGCGGCAUGACAAGUCACUUGUGAAAUCUCCGGGCUUAACUCGGAACGGCCAAGUGAAACUGUCAAGCUAGAGUGCAGAAGGGGCAAUCGGAAUUCUUGGUGUAGCGGUGAAAUGCGUAGAGAUCUGGAGGAACACCGAUGGCGAAGGCAGCCCCCUGGGCCAGCACUGACGCUGAUACACGAAAGCGUGGGGAGCAAACAGG
rnacentral:rRNA from 1 species